rnacentral:rRNA from 1 species
UCCGAAGGGGGCUAGCGUUGCUCGGAAUCACUGGGCGUAAAGCGCGCGUAGGCGGACUCUUAAGUCGGUGGUGAAAUCCUGGAGCUCAACUCCAGAACUGCCUUCGAUACUGGGAGUCUCGAGUCCGGGAGAGGUGAGUGGAACUGCGAGUGUAGAGGUGAAAUUCGUAGAUAUUCGCAAGAACACCAGUGGCGAAGGCGGCUCACUGGCCCGGUACUGACGCUGAGGUGCGAAAGCGUGGGGAGCAAACAGG